rnacentral:rRNA from 1 species
CCUACGGGAGGCUGCAGUGAGGAAUAUUGGUCAAUGGGCGGGCGCCUGAACCAGCCAAGCCGCGUGAGGGAAGAAGGUACAGCGUAUCGUAAACCUCUUUUGUCAGGGAACAAAGGCGGGGACUAGUCCCCGGAUGAGGGUACCUGAAGAAAAAGCAUCGGCUAACUCCGUGCCAGCAGCCGCGGUAAUACGGAGGAUGCGAGCGUUCUCCGGAUUGAUUGGGUUUAAAGGGUGCGCAGGCGGCCUGUUAAGUCAGCGGUAAAAGCCCGGGGCUCAACCCCGGCGAGCCGUUGAAACUGGCGGGCUGGAGUUGGAGAGAAGUACGCGGAAUGCGCGGUGUAGCGGUGAAAUGCUUAGAUAUCGCGCAGAACCCCGAUUGCGAAGGCAGCGUACCGGCUCCACACUGACGCUGAGGCACGAAAGCGUGGGUAUCGAACAGGAUUAGAUACCCCAGUAGUC